GCAGGUGAUCUUGUGCCCUGGAGCUGAGCUAGCCCGGCUCCAAAUCUCGGCUCUUUCUUUUUCCAUAGCUGCAGUUUGACCUGGGGCAAGCCCUCUAGCAUGGGUUCCUCGGCUGGAAGAUAGGCUGUGUGAGGCCGAAAUGCAACAAGAAGUGUAGCAAGACGCCUAGCACAGGAUGCAGACCCACAUAUGGGAGCUAUUAUUAGCUUCUCCCUGCAGGCGGAAGCGGAAUUGCACGCGGAGUGCAGGCUCGCUGGGAACCAGAGCGGGGGAGGUGGGUGAGAUAUGGAAUAAGCAGAAGAAAAAGAAAACUUGGUUUGCAUCUGGGUGGAAGCUAUUAAAGAUCAAACCACGGCAAGAAAUACUUUCUGCUGCUGCGUGGAAAAGCUUAUGUGAACAAGAGCGCCAUGGAGGAACAGAGUGAAUGCAGUUGGGGAAGGAAAUCCGGUGAUUGUAGAUGGAGAACACUUGGCAAGACAAGGAAUGGUUAGGGGUUGUUUAAAAAAAAAGGAUUUUGUUUUUACUGCCAAAUUUAUGGCUCAAUUCUGAUUCGUAUCAGUGGGAUUUGUAAGCUGUUCUUUGACUGGGGUUUGGCAGUUUGGUACAUAUUGGUGGUCUUAAUCCAGUAUCUGGACCAGAAAGCAAAUGUUUUCAUCUUUGGAAUCCCCGUUACAAUUGAAAAUUUUCCAAGGAGACAGUGGAAGCCAGAUGGGAAUGCGGCAUGCAUUGCCCUGUUAGCACAAAGUCCUCAGUUAGUGCCGUGUUGCUUUGUGCUUUCUUCUUUCCUUCCUGAACACUCACAGAGUGCCUACUGUGUGCCCAGCCUGAUGAGACUCCAGAACACUAGAUGCUGGGGAUUUAGAGCAGUGAAUCCAACAGACCACAUCUUUGCUUCAUGGAGUUUGCAUUCAAAUGGUAGGGAAAGGAAUGAAAGAUGCCAGAUUUAGCAAAUAAAAAUACAAGGCACCCAGUUAAAUUUGAAUUUCAGAUGAAUAAUGAAUUUUUUAGUGUUAAGUAGGUUCCAAAGAUGGGAUGUAUUAUAUCUGGCAACCUUAAAUAUAAUGCCAGGUAGUGGUAAGUGCUAUGGGACAAAUAAAACACAGUAAAGCGCUAACUAGAGAUAGAAGGGGGCGAUUUUAGUUAGGGCAGCAAGGGAAGCUCCCCUCUGACAAGGUGAUGAUGGAGCAGAGACAUGAGUGAAGAGAGGGAGGGAGCCAGGCUGGUAAAUAUCUGUGGAAAGCCAUCCAAGACAGCAGGAACAGCACCGCAGAGACCCCGAGGUCCAGUACUAGGGUCACGAAUUGGGCUCUGCACCAGUAAGCAUUCAAUAACUUAAAUCAACUAACUCCAGGUCAGUCCACGGUUCUAUUAGCCACUCAUAUCAUAUCCUAAUUCUGCAAUGUGUAUUAUUAAAGUCUAAGUGAUGGGGGGGGUGGUAGAAAAGGACAAAGAAUGGUAAGGAAGAAGGGUAGUACGUGGAACUGUUGACCUUGGCACUGAGGAUGGGAUUCAGCCUCAAAGCUCCCCACCAGGGUACUGGGAGAGCUCCUGUGGAACCUUAUACUACUACCUUGCUCUAUGCUAGAGAGUACUACUGGGGUCUCUAAAGGCCGGCGAGUCUGUCAGAUGGAAGGGCUGCUUUAAAUCUCACCUGCAGGGCCUUCCCUGGUGGUCCAGUGGUUAAAACUCCGCGCUCCCAAUGCAGGGGGCCUGGGUUCGAUCCCUGCUUAGGGAACUAGAUUCCGCAUGCUGAAACUAAGACCUGGUGCAGCCAAGUAAAUAAAUCUCAAAAAUAAAAUAAAAUGUAAAAUAAAAGAAAUCGCAUCCUACAAGCAGAACAGUUUGGUAUGAGUGUGAGCACUCCUAUUAUUUCUACACUUGCACGUAUACUUCAUGACAUCUUCACUAUCAGAAAGUGCCCAGGGGCUCCCCUGGUGGCACAGUGGUUGAGAGUCCACCUGCCGAAGCAGGGGACGCGGGUUCGUGCCCCGGUCCGGGAAGAUCCCACAUGCCGCAGAGUGGCUGGGCCCGUGAGCCAUGGCCGCUGAGCCUGCGCGUCCGGAGUCUGUGCUCCGCAACGGGAGAGGCCACAACAGUGAGAGGCCCACAUACCGCAAAAAAAAAAAAAAAAGUGCCCAGGAUAACAGAUCAAGAAUAGUUUUCCAGGGCUUCCCUGGUGGCGCAGUGGUUAAGAAUCCGCCUGCCAAUGUAGGGGACACGGGUUCGAGCUCUGGUCCGGGAAGAUCCCACACGCCGCGGAGCAACUAAACCCGUGCGCCACAACUACUGAAGCCUGCACGCCUAGGGCCCGUGCUUUGCAAAAAGAGAAGCCACCGCAAUGAGAAGCUCGCGCACCGCAAGGAAGAGUAGCCCCUGCUUGCUGCAUCUAGAGAAGGCCUGCGUGCAGCAAUGAAGAUCCAAUGCAGCCAAAAAUAAAUAAAUUAAAAAAAAAAAAAAAGAAUAGUUUUGCAAAUUCUACCUAAAGAGCCAAAGCUCUAAGGCAAAGGUAAGCCUUCCUUGGCUUUAUAUUUGUUCGUGGGCUUUUGCUAUUAAAUUCUAAGUGCUUAUUGGUAUAUUAGCUAGGAUAGUAAUCACAAAGGAAAAUUGUCUAUUCUGUGACAAGCUUCCUAGCAGAAACAAUAUAAAUAUUUUAACACGAAAUAAAUAAAGAGAAGGAACAUUGAAAACAGUUCUUUCCUCAGAUCCGCCAUAUGUGCGCCUAAGAUCCUACCCACCUGAUUGUGGAGGAGUCCUGCGAUGGUCUUGGUUUUACAGAGGAGCUCUCCUGUCCCAGAAAGUGGUUUGGUUGUUUCUUAGAAGAACUUCUCUAAAGACCCAUCAACUCUUGAUGAAAAGGACACGGUAAUCCGUGCGCUAAGAUUCUUCAAAGCCCUUGCCUCUAAGUCCUCACCUUGCUGCUUUUAUCAAUCCUGGACUCAUGCCUCCUAGCCAAGCUCCCACAUUGAUAGGCCCACCUUAAACCAAGCUUCCAAUUCUCAGUAAAUUCUUUUGUUUUAUUUUUCCCGUCCUCGCCCCUCCUCCCAUCCCACCCCCUGAUUCUGACCUUCCCCCUCCCUAUGAGACAUUGUGCAAGCAUUUUUUUUUUUUUUGCGGUCCGCGGGCCUCUCCCGUUGCGGAGCACAGGCUCCGGACGCGCAGGCUCAGCGGCCAUGGCUCGUGGGCCCAGCUGCUCCGCGGCAUGUGGGAUCUUCCCGGACCGGGGCACGAACCCUCAUCCCCUGCAUUGGCAGGCGGACUCCCAACCACUGCGCCACCAGGGAAGCCCUGUGCAAGCAUUUUGAGGAGUGUUCUCCCUGACUUCCUGUGGUACGCGGGCCUCUCUCUCACUGUUGUGGCCUCUCCCGUUGCGGAGCACAGGCUCUGGACACGCAGGCUCAUCGGCCAUGGCUCACGGGCCUAGCCCCUCCGCGGCAUGUGGCAUCUUCCCGGACCGGGGCACGAACCCGUGUCCCCUGCAUCGGCAGGCAGACUCUCAACCACUGCGCCACCAGGGAAGCCCGAUAAUGCUCACUUUUUAAUUCCACCUACCAUCUGUGCAAAAGGUUGAGUGGAAAUUUGGGUGAUGAGUCGCUGUUUCCCAAUGUCAGUCAGUUGUUCCUGUAAAUGGGAAGAUGUUGCAAUUGCAUUUUUAUAUUUUAAACAAAUAGGUUCAAAUAUACCAAAGCUCUUCAUCUGGGAGUUGUAUUUUUUUUAAACAGUUUAGAAAAUUCACUUUAUGAUAUAAACUACAUACUUGAUAGUUGUUAAAGGUAACAUUCAUACAUAAUUUUUAGCACCAAAUCACAAGUGAUUGCUAAACAUCUGUUUCUAAAAUCUAAAAUGCUCUCUCCAUAGCGUGAGUUUCUUUCUAAAAGUAAUCACUUUCUUCCUCAUGGUUAGAACAUUAUCUUUAAAAGAACAGAUUAAGCUUUUUUUUUUUUUUCCUUUUUUGGCCUUGCCAAGAGACUUGUGGUAUCUUAGUUCCCCGACCAGGGACUGAACCCUGGCCACCACAGUGAAAGCGCCAAGUCCUAACCACUGGACCGCCAGGGAAUUCGCACGCAUUUUUUUGUUCUAACAAAAUAUCUGCCAGGCAGUGUGUAAUGGACAGCAUUUACUAAUGAAAAGGACAGCAGAUUUGAAACUACUGUCUUUAAGAGGACAACGAAUAGCUUAUCUUUAUAAAGUUCUUUGCUGUAACAUAUCCAGCAAACCACUGUGUGGUACGAAGAUUUCAGUAGUGAUGCCUCAUCUUUCAAAGUCCAAGAUUGAGUCUUUCUGGCAGGAAAGUCCUUCUUAUACCCCCCCACCCCCCCUUUAAAAAUAAAAUUAACCUCACUGAUGAUAUCCUGUAGCAAUCUCUGAAAUUUUGGCUUCAAUAUCUUGGCUGCAGUAGCUUAUCUGUGAAUGAUUCAGUGAUCGAUUUUAUGUGCUAGAAGUUUUGUAAUUUAAUCCCAGAAUUAAAAAUUCCUGGAGAGUGGCUGCUUCUUUGGUUGUUAUUGUUACAAUAACAUAAACUCAAUAUAUGAGUUUUUAAAAAAUCAUAUAUUGUUUCCAUUAAAGAAAUCAUUUAUUAUUGAGAAUAUACCUUCUCUGCUAAACUUUUUAUUUAGUUGUUCAUAAAAAAUCAGUUUGUACAGCUCUGUCAUCACUGGAACAGGAUCGUGCAUAUAUACCCUAAGCAGUGGCAUGUUAGAAAUAGCUGCUCUUCUCUUUCAACAGUACAGCAAUCUUCCCACACUGUGUAGUUUAUUCUAAUAUGUGUUUGCUCAAAUCUACAGCAAUAUUUUUUAAGCAUCUUCCAACUGUUUGCUGACAAAUGAAUGUAUUUUAUUUUGCAGUCAUAUUUUCUGGUUAUUAUUUUCCUAAUUUAACAUUUGUUGGUUUAUAUUUGUGUUUUCUACCUCUCCAGAAAUAACCAAUGUUUCCCUAGUGAUAUGUGGCUUUGGGUCUUUUGGUGUUAAAUAAACUUAUCAUUGUUUAGCAAAAA